rnacentral:rRNA from 1 species
GACGAACGCUGGCGGCGUGCCUAAUACGUGCAAGUCGAACGAGAGCGACCGGUGCUUGCACUGGUCAAUCUAGUGGCGAACGGGUGAGUAACACGUGGGUAACCUGCCCAUCAGAGGGGGAUAACAUUCGGAAACGGAUGCUAAAACCGCAUAGGUCUUCGAACCGCAUGGUUUGAAGAGGAAAAGAGGCGCAAGCUUCUGCUGAUGGAUGGACCCGCGGUGCAUUAGCUAGUUGGUGAGGUAACGGCUCACCAAGGCCGUGAUGCAUAGCCGACCUGAGAGGGUGAUCGGCCACAUUGGGACUGAGACACGGCCCAAACUCCUACGGGAGGCAGCAGUAGGGAAUCUUCCGCAAUGGACGCAAGUCUGACGGAGCAACGCCGCGUGAGUGAAGAAGGUUUUCGGAUCGUAAAACUCUGUUGUUAGAGAAGGACAAGUGCUAGAGUAACUGUUAGCGCCUUGACGGUAUCUAACCAGAAAGCCACGGCUAACUACGUGCCAGCAGCCGCGGUAAUACGUAGGUGGCAAGCGUUGUCCGGAUUUAUUGGGCGUAAAGCGAGCGCAGGCGGUUCCUUAAGUCUGAUGUGAAAGCCCCCGGCUCAACCGGGGAGGGUCAUUGGAAACUGGGGAACUUGAGUGCAGAAGAGGAGAGUGGAAUUCCAUGUGUAGCGGUGAAAUGCGUAGAUUAUGGAGGAACACCAGUGGCGAAGGCGACUCUCUGGUCUGUAACUGACGCUGAUGCUCGAAAGCGUGGGUAGCAAACAGGAAUAAAUACCCUGGUAUCCAUGGGCGAAUCCUGGUGGGGUUGUCAGCGUGGGGUGCCGUCGACGGCUGAUGAACAACAAGGUACCAGUUUUGGUUCCUUUAUGGGGGGUUGAUUGCCACCACUGUGUGUGUUUGUGGUGUGCGAUGUGUGUGUGUGUGGUGGUGAUGUGAGGUGCUAGUGUGUGCGCUGUGGGUGUGGUAGUGGGUG